rnacentral:lncRNA from 1 species
GCGGUGGAGGUGGUGGGGUGAGAGCGCGUGUUUAUUUACAUUAUGCAGUGACUUUUCCUCUCCCUUCCCCUCCCCCUCCCCCUUCCUCCUAACUCAGCGAUUCAAGAGGACGGAUGUAAAGAAAGCCACACUUCCGCUGCCUAGAGGGCGCUUUAAGGCUGGCAUCCACCUGCUCCUACUUCUGCACGCUCCCCUUUUCUGCAGAGGCUGCUGCAAACCAUAGAGAGACGUCUCCUGGCCCUGCUUUUCUGGGUUAUUGCUCCUGCUCUCCGUUAAGAGAACCGUAGCUCCAACAGCCGCCCCGGCCACGCAGAUCCCGUCUCAGCACGUUGCUCCUAGAACGUACCCCUCCCCCCCUCUUUCUUUGCAGCUGUUAGAGGCCACGCAGCAAGAGAUUCACUUUCUCUUUGCGUGAUGCGCGUGCGUGCUCUCUGCCCUUCAAAGAAAGCAGAACGGACCUCUCCCCCUGCUGGUCAAUUGCAGAAGGCAGCGGCUUCUAAUUUUUCCUGCCCCACCUAUCAAGAAAGCAAAACUCCUGUUAAAAAUAUGUGGAGUUAAGCAAAAUAAGGUCCUGCCUGCCUUCUCUGAUGCACAAAACUGCACACCGUCCAUCUGUUCUUUAUCUUACAGGUGGGUAGCAUGUUUCAUUAUGAGUCCUCUGGAACUGUGGUUGGUCCUUAUUUUGAUCAGAGUUCUAAGUCUUUCAAAGUUGUUUGUAUUUACAAUAUCAUUGUUAUUUAUUUAUUUAUAUUUUAUUUAUUUAUUUAUUUAUUUUAAGAUUUUCUUUUUUUUUUAAUUUUAAACAUUAUUUUAUUUGGU